rnacentral:rRNA from 1 species
AAUGCAUAGGAAUCUGCCCGGUAGUGGGGGAUAACCUGGGGAAACCCAGGCUAAUACCGCAUACGUCCUACGGGAGAAAGCAGGGGAUCUUCGGACCUUGCGCUAUCGGAUGAGCCUAUGUCGGAUUAGCUAGUUGGUGAGGUAAUGGCUCACCAAGGCCGCGAUCCGUAGCUGGUCUGAGAGGAUGAUCAGCCACAUCGGGACUGAGACACGGCCCGAACUCCUACGGGAGGCAGCAGUGGGGAAUAUUGGACAAUGGGCGAAAGCCUGAUCCAGCCAUGCCGCGUGUGUGAAGAAGGCUUUCGGGUUGUAAAGCACUUUCAGUGGGGAAGAAAUCCUCGGGGCCAAUACCCUCGAGGGAGGACAUCACCCACAGAAGAAGCACCGGCUAACUCCGUGCCAGCAGCCGCGGUAAUACGGAGGGUGCGAGCGUUAAUCGGAAUUACUGGGCGUAAAGCGCGCGUAGGCGGCGUGAUAAGCCGGUUGUGAAAGCCCCGGGCUCAACCUGGGAACGGCAUCCGGAACUGUCAGGCUAGAGUGCAGGAGAGGAAGGUAGAAUU